AGGUGAAGCGAUGAGACCAGAAGAAAGUAAUGAAGUCGGGAAGGAUUUUAUCAAUUUAGAUCAGACCUCAAGGCAAGCUCUCCAAAACAAACUCAACUUCUACAAGAAUAAUGUAAUUACACAAUCAGAUGGGUGCCCAAUUUACACUUGCAGUAGGAACAUAUGAACACAAGAGAAUUUUGAGAUGAACAGGUCUCUGAGCUAGAACCCCCAGGAGCCUCCAGAUGACAUCGCCCUCCCUCCACCCCCCAGGGGAAUCGUCUAGGGUGGGGUCAUCCAACAGGUACAAAAAUUAUAAUCCUUGAUGUGUAAAGAUAGACGAUCAACUUGGUUUUUUCACUGGACUUCAAAUGAUAAUCAAGAUUUGGUCUUCUGGCUCUACUUCUCCAAGACUACAGGCAUUUCUUCCAGCUUACCCUGCUAGUCCAUGCAGGUCCAUGUUCAUAAAGCUUGUAAUCAAAUACUGUGAAGCAAGAAAUUUGCUCUCAUAUGAUCAAAUAUCAUGAUUUCAGUGGCUUAUAACAGCAGCUUAUAAGCUGUAACUGAUCUUUGGUUAUUGGUGAAAAAGGGGUCCAGUUUCAAUGAUAACAAAGGUAAAAUUUCUAUGACAAAUCGUUGUCAACCAAUAAGGCUUCGAUUUCAAUUUGCUCGUAAUGCUUAUCGUAAUUUUGUUAUUAGAACAGGUUUUAUGAAAAUGGAGCCCGGGUGUUGUAACAUGAAGCCACAUUUGAUUGCGUGGCUGAUUUUUAUGAUUGAUCAUCAAAAGUCAAUCAAUCAUAAAAUCCACUCAUGAUCGAUCGCUUAGCUCUAUGUAACAGGGCCCUGGUCUUCUUGACCUGGGGUCCAUUUCAUAAAGAGUUGCAACGGUUGUAACUUUGCCAAUAUGGCAACUACCAUGGCAACAGGGCCCAGUAGCCAAUCAAAAUCAAGGUUACCAUGGUAGUUACCAUAAUGGCAAAGUAACAACAGUUGUAACUCUUUUGAAAUGGACCCCAGGUUUUUACAGUCCACAAGAAAUUCAUGAUUUCAGAAAGUAAAGGCGUGAUAUAUUUUGAUGUAUCUGGUGAUUUUAGGUACAUUUCUCUAAGGUGAUACAAUUUAUUUCAUACUAGAUUGAAGGAAUUUGAUUUUGUUUUGCAAUAAAAUCGCCCAUGAAGUUGAAGUCAUCUGUGUCAAAAUUAUUUCCUUGAAUAAUCAAGAGAUUACUCCAUUUAUGUUAUUAGAAAUUUGCACAUAACGCUUGAUCGUUUGAUGUGCAUAUUUUCCACAGUAUUCAUUUCUACAAUAUAAAACUCUUAACACGUUGCUGAGCUAGCAUAUAUCCGGGCUGGAAUCUAUGGAAAACAUGUUUUAUUGCAAAAUCAAUCAGUCACAAAUGGGUUAAGACAACCAUUAGAAUUUCGUUUAAUACAUGUGUAUAUAUUAAAAAAACAUUGUCACUUUUCUUUGAUGAAAGAUGUUGAGAAAGGUUAUAAAUCAGUGUUUGUUUUGCUUGUAGUUUAAGCAAAGCAUGAUUGAUUUAAUAAGAUACUAUACAGUUUAUGUGGUAAUUGUAUAGAAAACUUAUAUUUAUGUUCAACUUUUAUUCUCCUCCUUCAGGUCAAUAUGUUUUUGAGGUACAACACUUGUGAACUGGGAAGUUUUUAUGUUGUCAUUUAUUAUUUGACCGUUUUGAACAGAUAAUAUGGAUAAACAUUUUCAUACUAUGCAUUUUUUAUGUCUUCUUUCUUGUUUUGUUAUUCUGUGACUUUUCCAAAUAGUGUAGCAGUUCUAGGUUUUACUUACAAGUGUUAUUAAAUUAGUUUUUUAGCUAAGAGAUAAAUUAUAGAUGAUAUAUUUUCAUUUAUAGUCAUCUUAUGUAGUUCUUUAUUUUCAAACAUAAAUUGUUGGUCAAAAUAUGUUAUACUUUCAGAUUUUUUCUUUAUAAAAAGAUGAAAUAUUUUUAUUAAUAUUUUUUAUAUCAUGUGAGUGAGUAUUUUCUUUUUAUUUGACGAUGUUUCAUUCUUAUUGCUAAAGUACUUGCUAUUAUAAAUCUGUACUUUACAUGAAUAUAUUGUACUUACGUCAUUUCAUGUCCAUUCUUAUUCUAUUAAAAUGUAUCAAGAAACAACAUAAUUUCAAUACCUUUUUACAGGCUUAUCAAGCAGGAAUAUAUCUACUAUAAAAUAAAGUUAUACAGUUUAUAUAUAUGAUUGUAACAACAUUUUACUAAAUGAUUUAUGUAAUUUGGAUAUCACAAAUUAUGCUAGGAUUCUGACCCUCUCUUCAUUUUCAAGUUUUAAAAGUUAUUUUCAAAUGAUAUAUUAUUCAUGUUGAUAUAGAUGGACUUGUCAGCUUUUUAUUGUUACAAAACUAAUCAGUUGUUAGACAACCAUACUUGAUGUAAAUAAAGAAAUAUAUAUAUCAUCUGCCUUGAAUGAGGACAUAUUAAUACAGGUAUCAGCAACACAUAUCUAUUUUAUGCUAAUCCCCAAUAAGUCACUUUCAAUCAAAUUUAUCCCUUUGAAGAAUAUUUGGUUUAAAAAAAAAUCAUCUUUAUUGGAAAUCUUUUGGCUUUUACUUAGUUUACGUUAUUGGAUGUCACAAAUGAUUUUUUUUUCAUUAAUAUAGGAUAUAGUUAUCAGACAAAACUGUGGAGCGAUUUCUGGCCAUAUUGAUAAACAUAGCAUAAUUUCUAUUUCUCUCAAUAUAUUAGAUUAUGCCAAACACAAAUAUUUGUUGGUCAUCACUGAAGUAGUAAUCAUAUAUAAACUAAUUCUAAAUCAAAACAAAUGAAAUAUAGUGUAUAUUUUAAUGUUCCAAUUAUCCACUUUAAUGUCAUCUACCAAAAGACAAAAGUGAAGCAUUAUAGCAAUAAAAUGGUUUAAAAAGUAGGAAUGAAUCACAAAUGUUACAGCUUUUUGUGGGAUGCAAUUUAUCAUUUGAAAUAUGAUUAGUUAUAAAUAUUGCAAUAUUCUGUAAAUGGUCCUGUUUGUAAAAUGGCCACAAAGAACUAGGUGUAAAAAGCAGGAAGCAGAUAAAAUCAAACUGAUUGACCUCCGUUUAUAUAUGUAUAUGCCAUCAAAAUGACCAUUGGAUAGGUGGGGUAUAUGAACAGGGAGUUUGUGUAAUGGAAACUAGGUAUUUACAGGGUUUUAAUACCAUCAAAAUAACAAGAUUCUUGGAUUGUACCUGAGAUUCCAUGAAAUCCAAACGCAAAAGCAGUUAUUCUUAAAAAAGAAAUUUUUGUUCAGGAAGCUCUGUACAAAGACUGCUUCGGUACCAUCAUAAUUUUCUUUUUAGCAGAAAUCUCAAAUCAGGGGCGUUUAAAACAAAUAGGUCAUCCAGGAAAUUUACUUAUUUUUGUGAUAACAAGUUUCCUCUUAUUUUGAGUUGGAGCAUUUGAGGGAUUAUAUCGUUUCUUUGUUGUUUUUUAUCUUUGUAUAUCAUUCAUGCGAGCAGUUAUUUAAUCUUUCAAUAAACAGGACUAAAAUCAGUGUUCAGACCAUUAUCUUAUUUUAUAUGAAUGCAACUGAACAUAAUGUUAUUAUAUUAACAUAUUUCUUUUAAUAUGAAUGUAUCAUAUCAAUAUUUAUGACAUGAAAUACAUUUUUAUGUCUUUAUUGAAGUCAUGUAUUAAAGUAUUUCUGUCAUUGAAUGAUAUCUAUCUUGAAAAUGUUCAUUUUCUGGGUAUCAGUCACGUUUUUUUCUUUUUUGAAGGUUAAGUCCACCCCCAACUUAAAGUCGAUAUGAAUAACCAUAGAGUAAUACUACUACUACUACUACUACUAUUAAUAAUAAAAAAGUCAUAGGAGCGCUGCUUAUCAUCAGGUUUCUUUAAUCUUGAUCUAAACAUUGUAUUCUGGGAUGUAAUAUUACCAGGAGCAUGCACAGCCACCUUGGAUUUUUAUGUAACCAAAAAGUCAAAUAAGCUUUUGAUAUGCUGAAAAUAAAAUCAAAUCAAAUGUAAAAUAAGAAAGUGAUGUCAUCUCGAAGUUUAUUUUCACAGCUUGGGUUCUACUCUGAGAGUUGAUGAUGUCACACACUACUGAUAUAUCUUUUAUAUUUCAUUUUAUGAAGUACAGAAAAUUUGAUUUUUCUGCAGAUAUUACCAUUGGAAAACUCAUUUUAUCGGUUACAACAAUGGCAAUUUCUGCAUGUUCAGGGAGGAACUUUGUUUCCCAUUAUAAUGAGGGGAAAAUUAAAAGUACUUUAUAUACAAAAGAAA